rnacentral:tRNA from 1 species
UGCCGAGUAGUGUAGUGGUAACACUUCGGAUUUUGGUUCCGGCAUCGUGGGUUCGAUCCCCACCUCGGCAA